AUACUUACCUGGCAGGGUAGAUACCAUGAUCACAAAGAUGGUUUUCCCAGGGUGAGGCUUAUCCCUUGCAUUCCAGAUGUGCUGACCCCCAAUUUGCCCAAAUGUGGGAAACUCAGACUGCAUAAUUUAUGGUAGUGGAGUACUGGGUUCUUGCUCUCCCC